rnacentral:rRNA from 1 species
UACGAAGGGGGCUAGCGUUGCUCGGAAUUACUGGGCGUAAAGCGCACGUAGGCGGUUUGUCGCGUCGGGAGUGAAAUCCACUGGCUUAACUGGUGGCUUGCUUUCGAUACGGGCAGACUGGAGGUAUGCAGGGGAGAACGGAAUUCCUGGUGUAGCGGUGAAAUGCGCAGAUAUCAGGAGGAACACCGGUGGCGAAGGCGGUUCUCUGGGCAUGUCCUGACGCUGAGGAGCGAAAGUGUGGGGAGCGAACAGG